rnacentral:lncRNA from 1 species
AGGGGAACGGGGAUAAGUCGCUGGCUGUCUUACCUCUACUGUGAUAUAUUGUAGAUGCCGCUAUGUGUAGUGUUUUUGCAUCCACUCUGUGGCUUUAGUCUGUAGAAUAUGCUGAAAGCUCUUGGUGUUGUGCCGUGUCAAUAAGCUGCUGUGUGCAUAUGGCGGGUUAGGGCUGCGUGGAGCUUUGCCGCAGCCUGCAAUCCCGCCGCGUUGUGUUUGUUUCCUCUACCUGCUGUGUCAAAUGGAUGGUGUGUGGAGGAUGGGGUCGUGCUUGUAAUGUUAGCAGGGUUCGAGGUGGAGUGCAUGUAAUCCUUUUUCGAUGUAUGGUAUCUAAUAAACUGAAGGUGUUUUCUUGAACUUGCUGUGAAUCUAUGAUGCCAUAUGAUGCACCCGGGCCUGUUGAUUGCGCUUUGUGCCGUGUGCGCCAUUGGGCGCGAUGAUAAUGACAGUUGCUCAUCUCAUGCACACUUUCAGAUAGCCACCAUGUACGUGGUUGGCAAUAAUAUUUAUUAGUGAAGGAAGCAGGAAGAUUCUGGCAGCAGUGUUUUGCAGCAGCCUGCAGGUCUGCCGGACAGCAGUUAUUCGGCAGCUCGGCACCAUUCUGAAGUUUCUCGCUCAGGCUCUCAGCGUCUCCAGUUUGACAGCAUACGGUCUUUACUACGUUCCCUGACUCCCUGUCAUGUGCGGACACACGAGCUGCGUAGCCUGCAUACUAUUUUGAUACUGGUAUAUCUGUGUUAGGGUGCAUACAAUUCUUAGAUUCAACGAGGAUUACCAAUCUCAGCUAGACUCCAGGAGUGUGGUUGGCUUACCAAAUUACAGUAUUACGCUUCCACUGCUCAUCAGACUUGUUGAUGUAUCUUUUCAGAAGAUAGCUCGGGUCACUACUCCACGUAGAUGAAUUCAGAGGCACCAACCGGAACUGAGAAGUUGCAGUGGCCGUUCACCACCUUCGGAGCAUCAGGAAGGACCAUGUUGUCUGUUCUAGAGUUAAACUCUGCAUCUCGAACUGCAAAACAGGUCCGAUCUGUCGCAGGUUCAGUUUACCUUUUGUUGCUGAAAGCGCUGAAUCGUCCUGCUCCAAAAUUGUGGAAACCUUCUGCAAAACAAAACAUCGUGUCGUUUUGAGAUGCGCCAAUGCAUCACGCAUGAUCGUGUCAGUUCAAUAGCCUGAAUUGUUUCCUUUAACUUUGGGGAUUUCAGAUUUUCUGGCACAGCGAGAGCAGGAAAACGCAAGCGUGGAGUUCGCCCAAAUCCUGUUGAGCUGUACAGCCUCACUCUCGCCGUCUCCUAGGCCCCACCUGGCAGAGGCCCUUCCCGAGCUGGUUGAAGUUGAACCCAACCAGGCAGCGGGUCCCCUACCGGAUCGGACUUCACCUCGUACGAGUUCCGACCGACCAAAACCCUCGCACCGCCGCCGGCGUCCGUCUGACCAUGCCGCCGCCGGAGCUGACGGAUGAUCUCAUCGACGAGAUCCUCCUCCGAUUCCCCCCGGAAGAGCCCGAGCUCCUCGUUCACGCUGCCCUCGUCUGCAAGCGCUGGUUCCGCCUCAUCUCCGACCCCCGCUUCCGCCGCAGGUUCCGGGAGCUCCACCGCGCGGCCCCGAUGCUGGGGUUCCUCUGCACCGACUACAGGAUUUCCCGCUUCGUGCCCACCUCCUCUGCGCCCCUGCCCCACGCCAUCCCCGGCAGUUGGCGCGCCGUCGACGCGCGCCACGGCCGCGUCCUCCUCAACACCGCGGCUUCCUGGAAUGAUUUCUGGUCCGGCUGUUCGGGGGACGACCUCGUCGUCUGGGACCCCAUCACGGGCUGCCGCCACCGGCUUCCCAAGCUGCCGGAGCACAUGUACCCGCACCUGGACCGCGGCGGUGCUAUGUGCCGCGGUGGAGGGCGGCUGUGACCAUCUCGACUGCCACCGCGGCCCGUUCCUCGUUGUCUUCGUGUGCACCAGCUCAAGGGAGGCGUUCGCCUGUGUCUACUAGUCGGAGACUGGUGCAUGGAGCGGGCCAGCCUCUGCUCAGCUCCGCCGUGGCCGCGUCCAUGUGGCUGCGCCCAGUGUCCUUGCGGGGAAUGCACUCCACUUCGUGUCUAGUAAACGUGGGAGGAGCUACAAAAUCCUGAAACAUGUUUUGGGCACUCAGGAAAUAUCUCUGAUUCACCUGCCACGCAAAGCCUAUAGGUAUCAGCAUUGUUCUUGUCUUUAACCUUGUAGCUGUCUUGGUUGUGACCUAUUAAUGUCACAUAAUAGGUUAGAAAUUCAGAUAACCACUGAUGAUCUACAUACUAAAUAAGAGGUUUAUCUCUUGAAUUUUGAGUUCAUUUCACUUUGUGAGUUUGUGCUUUUUCAUUAGCUAUUAGUCGAUUACUGGCAAUUUGUUAGUCCAUGUGUUGAGUGAAUAAUGUUUAAUGAGGCCAAAUUAAUUCCACAUUUAGCUUAUGUGUGUUUUUUUAGAGUGUCUAGUGAAAAUAACCCUUCCCUCACUCGAUUUUUUUAACCAUACGAUCCGAGAUCGAAUCGGCCUCCUCCUUUAUCUCCUCCACCGGUCACCCCACGUUAUCCGCUCGCCUCCACCCGACGCCCGUCAUCGGUCACCAGUAGUAGUAAUGCACACACACAUUUGUGCUAGUCUUCACGAUAUUCAUAUGGCUUGCUAGCUUGUGCACAUGCACGUACGCGAGUACGUUGCACGCAUCCUGUGCAAGGAUGGGCGAGACGAUCCUUCGCUUGACGCCGUUCGCCCAUCGGCCGUCUUCGUCGACUUGAGCUAGCCAUACGGUACCCAGCUAAAGACUGGAUCCCGGCACACUCGCCUCGUAAUUCUUGCCGGCAGCAUCGUCUUCCUACGCGCCACCGCCUGGACGUCUGGCAGCUUCAGACUUGGACGGCGCCGUCUUCAUGAGUGCCAUCGCCUAGACCAGCCUCGAUCGGAGUCGUCUCUAUGGGUGCCGUCCUCUGGGAGCCUAGCAGCAUGAGCAUCAACCUGAACCCCCGAAGAUAAACAGAGGUGGCAUUACUCCUCCUUCCUUGCUCGUCUGGUUCCGCGGCUUCGGCUUCACUCCGGCGUGUCGCCGGCUCCGUGCGCCGACGGUGGAGGUUGUGGAAGGCGCUGCCGGCUAGUGCAGAGGCAGGUCUUGAGGGCGCCGGGUAGGAGGUCGGACGCUCCCCUCGGCUCCUUCUUUUGGCGGCUCUUCCUUGGAAAAAGAUCCGCCCGCGACGCGAGGAGGCAGCAGCUUUAUAUAGGCCAUGGGUUAGGGUACCGAGCUGCCGAGGGACUCCCAGCGCCGCCUUAAGUUUGUUUUGCUUUGGCAGAGAUAUCUGCGAGUUGUUGAUGUUCUUGCUAUUAGGAUGAACAAUAAUAUCUAUCUGAAGCUUUUUAGCUUUAUAGCCAUCUCUACAUCGGUGGCCAGAUAGUCCCUGAGACAUGGGCCUGAUGAGGGAGUCCCUAGCACCUACACACGUACAUUAUAUUAUCAGGAUAAAAGGGAUCUCAUUCUUAACUGGCCGCUAAUAUCCAGGACUUCUAGAAGCAUCUAGAACCUUCAUGACCGUGUCGGCUGCCCCCACGGGCUCGAUCGUAUGGCCACAUGUAUCGUAGAGGACCCAAAUACGUGGACCUCGCGUACGUAUGUGGGCGCCACCAUGCAUAGCGGCUGCCGUGCCCACCGAUAACCAUUAGACGCUAAUUAAUUAGCGGCCAUGUGUUUGUUAAGCACAUACACAAAUUAACUUGCAUCUACUGAUGUACGUAGUCUAAUAAUUUUCUCUAUUCUUGAUUCUCAGUAAUUCAAUAGAGUUUAAUCCGUCACGUUUGAAUAUUGUGACAAAAUAACGUCAAACAUCGUGUUUUCUGAAUUCUUGGAGAAGAUUAUCAUGGAGCCACUGGUGAUGACAGGGUGGUAAUGCUGUUCUGAAGCUUAAUCUGAAACGUUGCACAAGUGAAGCAGAUAUGUGAGCUGGUGGAAGUCUGAAGGUUCUCAGUGAAACAAAGUAGAUAUGUUUUGACUUGUAGGCUGGUGAGCGAUUAUACGUUUUGCUUAACUUCUUGGUAUCAUGGCGCUGAACAGUUUGACCCCAGUUUCACAUAUCCGUGGUCGCUGAAUAUCGCCGCAGCAUUGUUACAUUUGGGGUAGUGUCCCUCUGCCGUCAGGUUUGGAGCAUCUGGCUGUGUAGCUAGCCAGGAGAAGAAAAAUGAGAGAACGAAGGAGUGGGUGAGGAUAAAGUUGAAUAGGUUCUGGUGAUUAGAUUGAGACCCAAUGGUUGUGAAAAAUAGAUUUAUGCUAAGCGAAACCUAAGUUAUCUUUAUGCGAUGAGGUAGCAAAUUAAGGUGAAAAAAUAGAGGUAGCAGAUGCUGUUUAUUACCUCUGGUCUUUUUAACGUAUCACAUUAAAUUUGUCCUAAGUCAAAUUUGUACCAAAUUAAGUGAAGAAGUAGAGGUAGUAGAUGCUGUUUAUUACCUCUGAUCUUUUUUACAUAUCACAUUAAAUUUAUCCUAAAUCAAAUUUGUACUAGACCAAGUUUAUAUUUUAAAAUCUAACAAUAACUAUAAUACCAAAAUUAUUUCAUUGAAUCUACAAUGGAAUAUAUUUUGAUAGUGCAUAUGUUUGGUAGUAUAGUUGUUGUAUUUUUCUAUAAACUUGAUGAAAGUUGGACAUGUUUGACUUAGGACAAAACUAAUGUGACAUGUAAAAAACCCGGAGGGAGUAGUAGAAAAUUCGGGAAAUACAUGGAUGCCAAAUAAGCGUCUCUCACUUCCCAAGCUGCUUAUCAAGAUUCUCCACAUCAAACAGGAACAUAGCAAACGAGGCCCGCGACGAACCGCCGUCCUCCAGCGCCGCUACUGCUUCUUUCUUGCGCGCCACCGCCCGAGCCCUGAUCACCCUGCCCUCGUCGGACUCCAUCACCAGCCCCACCUUCGUCUCCACCUCUUCGGCCCUGACGAAGCCCACCCUGUACCCCUCCAUCUCCACCCCGACGCCCAUGUCCUCGGUUAUGAACACCUUGUUCAUCAGCUGCUCCGCGUAGAGCGGCCAGCACAGCAUUGGCACCCCUUCUUUAAUGGCCUCCAGCGUCGAGUUCCACCCGCAGUGCGUCACGAAAGCUCCCGUUGCCGGGUGCCGGAGCACCUCCACCUGCGGCGCCCAAGACCUGACGAUGAGGCCCCGGCCCUUGGUCCGCUCCAAGAACCCCUCCGGAAGGAACGCGUCAAGACUCUCCGGGUCGCCGGCGCCGGCCGGCGUCCGCACAGACCACAAGAACCGGUGCCCAGAUCUGUCCAAGCCGCCGGCGAUCUCCCGUAGCUGUUCCGGUGGGUGCGUGCCUCUGCUGCCGAAGCAGAGGAACACGACGCUGCCCUCCGGCUGCGCGUCGAGCCACGCGAGGCACUCGUGCCUCUCGGCCCCUGCUCUGCCUUGAUCCGCUGAGCCGGUGCCGUCGCCGCCGACCAGCGGGCCGACGCAGUAGAUCGGUGGCAGCGCCCGGCCGGGGACGCACCGGGGAUCCCUCAGCGCCCGCACGGCCGCGCUCUCCAGCGACUCGAACGUGUUGACGAGGACGCCGGCGGCGUCCGUGUUGCGCGUCCAGACGUCCACCAUGGUUUUGCAGAGCUCGUCCUCCGGGUGCUCGAGCAGCUCCCUGACGAGAUGCGACGCCGGGAACGGCGGGACGCCGAGGAACUCGAGGGGCGCGUCGCCGAGCUCCUUCAGCCCCGCCGGCCUACCGGCAAGCAGCGCCGGCAUCUGGGCCACGACGGCCAGGGUGGCGGCGGCCGAGGCGAAGAACGCGUAGACGGGAACGCCAAUUCUCGCGCCGACGUCGACCGCGCUGGUGGAGAACAUGCCGGUGACCAGGGAGUGCAGGCGGCGGCGCGGGAUGGAGCGGAGGAAGCGCUCGAGCUCGCCGUCGUAGCGGCGGAGCACCUGGAGCGUGAGGAGGAACGGGGGCUUGCCGGGGACGGCGAGGUCGGCGUCGGGGACCGGAGGGAGGACGUGGAAGGUGAUGGCCGGGUUGGAGGCGGCGAGGUGGCCGACGUCGACGAUGCGGAAGUCGGGCGAGCCGGCGGGCGGCUCGGCGAUGACCAUGGCGACGUCGAAGCCAUGAGCGAGGAAGACCUUGGCGAGAUGCACCAUGGGGACGAUGUGGCCGACGCCGGGGCUGGGGUACAGGACGACGGUCUGCUGCUUCAUGGGCAUGGCGGCUUUCUUGUCCAUGGAGGUCGGCGGCGGGGGAGGAAAGCCGGGGAGAUAGCCAGAUAGGGACCGCGGACGGCGGUGCCGUGGAGUGCGAUCCUUUAUUACUAGCAAUUUGGGUCAGCUCUGAGAAGCAGACAGAUCUCGGACUCGUGGUUGCUGCACCGGAGAAGAAGAAGCUCAUCGACUUUGUUUGAUUUAUCAAAUCAUUGCCAUAGUGACAAGAAACAAAGGGAUUAGUUAGCUUUGUAACGGAAAGGGCAUUUGUUAGCAACUGAGCUAAGGAGCGAGAGACAAGCAGUUAAUUGGAACUUGGAAGUUUGCGGCUGGCACCGUAGCGAUGGGAGGAUGAUGCUUCUUGCUCCGAAGUGCCGAGAGAGCUUGUUGCGUUUGCCACGGUUCCUAGACAGUGCCCAAAUUUUGCCGCCAGUGACCUGAGUUAGAGGAAGAGGGAUUGCCGAGAACCUUCUACGAGCUCCAGGCUUAGAGGGGAAGGGUCUCCUUCUACUGUGAUAUUCUUCUUUCAUUGAAAUUUCAAUGAGACCUUGCUACAUUGCUCAAACAUCAUUUCUUAUUUUUCUUCCUCUUAAUAGCACUGAUGUGUUGUAUGCUUCACCAAUGACUUCCAAAGCGUGAGUGAUCGUUACAGUAUACCAUCGGAAUGAGAACUAGAAAAGACAAAUUGGCAUAUUAAUAUGCACAUAAUUUUGUUCUACUCAAAAAUUUGCAUGAACAUACAUCCUUGCAUCCUCUAUCCAUCUAUACUUUUGGAUGAAUUAUUGAUGCACUUUGGUGUUUUUGUAGGGAUGGAAGGGACUGGAGCAUCCUGGGGGGAUUAUAGAAAAGACGUGGAGCAUCAGAUUAUAUUCAUGAUUUUCCUCACCAUUAAGAAGCUGGUUUGUCCCCAGUUUUAUAGGAAGCUUCACGGUCACGGCCCAGAUAAAUAGGACCCACCAGGUAGCAAAAAAAAUUUAACACGCCAGACUCUUUAAAGUCUAAAGCAAAAAAUCUUUAACACGCAAGACUCUUUAAAGUCUAAGUGCAGGUGGCUUUGCAGUAAACAGGCACUAAAUUCAAACCUCAAAAGUGGAACGCAUCUCUGGCGUGGUAGAAAGGCACCUAUACUCCAUUGCAACCCGUAUAUUCCACUGCUCAACGGGUCUACCUUCCUAUUGACCAAAAGUGGGACGGAUAAUUUGGAGGGGGAAAGUUGAGGCAAUAAGAAGGCCACUGAAACGACGCCCAAGUCCUGAGUAAAAGGGGGCAUGCAUCUUGGUGCAAACGAAUUUACAAAGCUAGAAUGAAUGUAGGAGGAAUGCUGCCGGCAGUAGUACUAGCAUCCGAACGUCCCAUGUGACAAGGCUAAAGUUUAGCCCCUGUCUCCCAAACACCCCGUACUAGCGCAGUUGGGAGAGUGAUUAGUGAUUAAAUUAAGCUCCUAAGACGACCCUGACCAUCACUAUCGUUGACGUUGACGAGGAGUGCCUAAUUAAUGUACGUUCUUGAUUCUCUCGCUGCGUGAUGACGCGUGAACUCUGGCCCUCGCCACAUGCACGCAAUGGCGCUGGUGCAAUGCAACAACCCCCAUCCGUGCAUACGCCUCCUCCUCCCACUCCUCGCCGCGACGGCCGUCGCCGCGGGAGCCUCGCCGGAGAUCGACGACUUGUACGCGCUCUCCAAGCUCAAGUCAUCCCUACUUACCGGCAGCGCUGGCAAUAGCACCUCGCUCGCCGACUGGGACAUCACGUCCUCGUCUACUGCAACAUCACCUCCGUGGCAGCACUGCAACUUCUCCGGGGUCACAUGCGACGCCUCCAGCCGCGUCGUCGCCAUCAACCUCACCGGCGUCCCUCUAUACGGCGGCGUGCUUCCAAGCGCGGUCUCGCUGCUCGACGCUCUCUCAAGCCUCACCGUCGCCUCCUGCUUCCUGUUGGGCCCUAUACCAGCAUCGCUUGCCUCGAUGCCUCUCCUCCGCCACCUCAACCUCUCCCACAACAACAUCUCCGGCUUCUUCCCGUACGGACUACCGGCACCCUACUUCCCCUCCGCCGAGGUGAUCGAUGUCUACUAUAACAACCUCACCGGUCCCCUCCCGCCGUUCGGCAGGUCGCUGACAAGGUUGCGACACCUGAACCUUGGCGGUAACUACUUCUCGGGCAGCAUACCCGAGGAGUACGGCGACAUCAAGCGGCUCGAGUUCCUUUGGCUCUGCGACAACUGGCUAUCCGACCGUGUGCCACCGUCACUGUCGAGGCUCAAGAGACUAAAGGUGAUGAAUUUAGGGUACGGCAACUCAUUCGACGGCGGCAUCCCGUCGGAGUUCGGCGAGCUUGAGGCCCUUGUCGACCUUGAGAUGGCCCUCUGCCAUCUCACAGGACCUAUCCCUCCGGAGCUCGGCCACCUCACUCGGCUUGAAAUACUCUACCUCUAUUCGAACAAUUUGGGCGGGGAAAUCCCUGCCGAGCUCGGCAGCCUCAAGAACCUCACGUACCUGGAUCUCUCCUUCAACGAGCUUACCGGCAAGAUACCGGCAAGCUUCGCCGGUCUAUCCCGACUGCGACUACUCCAGCUAUUUGCCAACGAACUCCAAGGUGUGAUUCCAAAGUUUGUUGGGGAAUUGCCUCAGCUGGAAAUCCUCCAAGCAUGGCAAAACAACCUUACUGGGGAACUCCCGGCCAACCUUGGCAAGAACGGCAGGUUGUUGACGCUGGAUGUCACGGAUAACCACCUCACCGGCGCCAUACCGCCCCAUCUCUGUUCCGGCAGGCGGCUUCAGUCUCUCAUUCUGAUGCGGAACAAGCUCUCUGGACCAAUACCCGAAGACCUCGGCAACUGCAAGACGCUUACCAGAGUUCGCCUGAACAACAACUUCCUCAGCCGCUCCAUUCCGGCCGGCUUUCUUGAUCUCCCUAAGAAUACCAUGUUGGACUUGAGCCAUAACUUGCUCUCAGGCGAGCUCCCGGAUGUGACUCCCAGUGCCGGGCUGAGCUUCUUGUCAGUGGCAUCCAACAGUUUAUCCGGUGCUGUGCCGCCGGAGAUUGGGCAUCUCAAGAAGCUGUCCACGCUCAACUUCAGCGCCAACGAGCUCACCGCCAGCGUUCCGCGAGAGCUCAGCCACUGUGAGUCGCUGACCGUUCUAGACCUCAGCCGCAACCAGCUCACCGGAGAGAUACCGAAAGAGAUCACAAAUCUGAAGGUUCUAACAACGUUGAACCUGUCGAGGAACAGAAUCUCCGGUGAGCUUCCGCUAGAGAUCCGUGAGAUGAUCAGCCUCGGCGUCCUCGAUGUUUCCUACAACAACCUCAGCGGCCGUGUGUCAGUGUCACAACUUCAGGGGGUGUUCGUCCUCUCAGACGCGUCAGAUUUCGAAGGCAACCCUGGCCUCUGUGUGGAGCACGUCACCGCCGCUUCGUGCUACCGUCUGCAGCGUUCGCUGGCGCGAGGCGACAAGCCGAGGAUGCUGCUGUGGCUUGUGCCGGCCGUCAGCACCGUGGCGGUGGCCAUGGCCGUGUUCCAUGGGGUAAGGUGGCGUGAGGCGGCGAAGCGGCGGCCUGCGUCUUGGAAGAUGACGCGGUUCCACAACCUGGACCUGGAAAUGGACGACGUGCUCGGAUCCCUCAGGGAGGAGAACGUCGUCGGUAGGGGCGGCGCUGGCACCGUCUACCGCUGCGCGACACGGGGCGGCUCGGAGGUCGCCGUCAAGCGCCUCCCGGGGCCCGGCCGCCGCCGCGACCACGGCUUCCGGGCCGAGGUGGCCACGCUCGGCGGCGUCCGGCACCGCAACAUCGUGCGGCUGCUGGGCUUCGCGUCGGGCGCGGAGGGGAACCUGCUGCUGUACGAGUUCAUGCCGGCGGGGUCUCUGGGAGGGGUCCUGCACGGCGACAACGGCGCGCUCCUGGGCUGGCACACGAGGCACCGCGUCGCCACCGAGGCGGCGCGCGCGCUGUGUUACCUGCACCACGAGUGCUUGCCGAGGAUCCUGCACCGCGACGUCAAGUCGAGCAACAUCCUGCUGGACGCGGCCAUGGAGGCGCACGUCGCCGACUUCGGCCUCGCCAAGUUCCUCAGCCGCGGAGCGUCCGGCUCCGGCACCGGAGCAGUGGCGGCUGAGGAGUGCGUGUCCGCCAUCGCCGGCACGUACGGGUACAUCGCCCCAGGUAAGAACGAGCACUCGACCAUAUCGUGUUGCAUUGCUAGCAGGCAGCCACGGACACAUCACAAAGAUGUCAGGCGUGUGGUAAGCAGAGUACGCGUACACGCUGCGGGUGGAUGAGAAGACGGACGUGUACAGCUUCGGCGUGGUGCUGCUGGAGCUCGUCACGGGGCGCCGCCCGCUCGGUGACUUCGGCGACGAGAUCGACCUCGUCCACUGGGCCCGAAGCGCCGUGCCGACGCCGUCGGACACCACGGCAGUCCUGGCCGUGGCAGACCCGCGGCUGCCGCGGGAGCCUGCCGACCUGAUCGCCCGCCUCUUCAGGGUGGGCACAUCGUGUGUCCGCGAGGACAGCCAGGCGCGCCCCACCAUGCGUGAGGUCGUGCACGUCCUCUCCAGCUUCGUACCAGUUGCUGAACCAGCCAGCUCAACCUCUGCUCUUCCUCUGUAACCACAGGUAGAUAAGACCCAUCGUGGUGGUGUUGAUGUUGUAAAAGUCGUUUGUGGCGUCGAAAUAUUAGACUAUACAAGCCAAUUCGCUGGUGCUCCGUCCAUGGAUGCGACUAGCGUUUGCCGAUUCGUCGGUGUUGUUCUACAAGCUGAUCCUGGAGCUAGAUGGGAUUUUGCGGCAUGCCUGGAGCAUGGACACGGCGCGGAGUCGACACUGGACGGGGGCGUCUCUCGGUGGCGACAGCCACCAAAAGGGCCGGCCCGGGUGAUGCCGCCGCCGCGCUGCUGAUCAUGAUCGGUAAAGGUUUCUAUAAAAGUACGUACGCAGGCGCUUACACAUGCACGUACACUCAUCUUUAUAAAUACUUGUCUGCAAUCCUACCCUUAUGAGUAUCCUUGAGAGACUGAGCUGGUACAUCUUGAGAUUGAUGAAUUUUUCAGAGACACCUCGUUGUCGACGGACACAUUGCUUAUUAGUGAAAAAUAGCGCCGGUUAAAUUCUAGAAAAAUAUGAGCACUCAGACUCUAACAACCAGUGGCGUAGCUAGGAUGUCAGGAUAGGGUGAUCCAACUUAACAAAAAUGAGACGCCGUCUGUUCUCCAGGGCAUGCGAAGGCGCGAGCCAAUGGAGGAAGCACUGGUUUCCUCGUACGAGAGUCGAGCAAAGCAAUCAUCGUCGGAAAAACGAAGGCGCAUGGAACAGAUGCUGGCCAAAUUCCUAAGAGGUAAUGGGCUUUGGGCCAAAAUUCCAGGGGUGGUCCUUGGCCCACACGGAUCACCCUGCUCACAACCACGUAUAGCCAUUGCGCAUUGACUAGCACAUGGGAAAUAAAAAUAGCGCAAUGUAAUUAAGUGAGGAUACGAUGAAAAAUCUCUCAAACACAUAGCUUAUUACUAAAAUAUACGCAAAGAUACCCACCAUUGUGCCCCAAAAACAUUGAUAUGCCGUUUUGAUGUGCGGGUGACCCUCCUCCUUUCUGCAGCAAUAUGGCUAAAAGUGGAUUCAAUGAAUACCCCUGAUGAGAUUGCAUGCAUGGAAGAAUUAACUAGCGAAUUAACUAGCGCAAUCCAAAUUGUAGAUCGUUUUGACAUUUUUAGAUUUAUAUAUUUUGUUAUGUUUCUAAAUAUACAUUUAUGUCUAGAUACAUAAUAAAAGUUAUGAACCUAGAGAUGUCACAAUGACUUACAAUUUGGGACGGAAGGAGUAGUUGACUAGUUGUUACAACGAGCAUGCGCGGCGCCCGCAAGUGAGCAAAGAGGGAGGGAAUCUUCUACCUCUAAUCUACAUUCGGAGCACGAGCGAAUCGACGUCCUCCAGUAGUUUCCUAUAAUCUACUCGUUUCUUACUUGUGAAAAUGGUAGUUUUGUUUAUUGGUGAACUUUUAUAUGUGGAGGCUACAUCCCCAUCACACUUAACAUACGAAUGCUCAGCUCACUAGUGGAAGUGGUCACUAUCCACAUUAGAUGUUUGUCUAGAUAAGGAAACGCAACAUGCAGAGAGAGCCAAACUGUCAAAGGCACCCUUUUCAUGCAUUCCACCACGCAGGUUACAAUUGAUGCGAAUCUUUUUUUUUUACCUCUUGAAGGACCGCAAAUAGACUUCUGUAAUUUUAUCAAGCUAUGUAAAUACGUAAAUUACAGUAGAAAUUAAAGGAGCGCUAGAGUUAAGUUGGAGACCAAAAAUAUCCUUUAUCUGUGACUUAUGGAAGUAAUAGCAAAUUUUAUAAUAAUGCUAGCAAAUGGCACUCUAUAGCAAGGAUCUUUUAUUAUAGGAACGAGAAUUUUUUUUGUGCCUCCAAACAGUGGACCCAAUGGAUACUACUCAAGAUUGCAUGCAUGAAGAAUUAACUGACUAGCGGCUUGUCUAAAACACUAUCAUUGCGGCUCAGCCGCCGCAUGUUGUAACGGAUGGUUCAUGCAUGUCGAUUGCUUUUGAUGAACAUUAGCAGAGGUGUCGAGCUUAAUCAAGUGAAUUUAGCAAACAUCCGCGUUGCUGACCAUUCAACGGCCGGCCGGCCGGCCGGCCCGCCAGCCGUCGGCAUGGGAAAUCCGUAGUAGACGUCGGAGUCGAUCGACAGGGGCGUCUGUUUCUCGGUGGCGGCAGCCACCAAAAGGCCCGGCCCGGGUGAAGCCGCCGCGCUUCAGCUCGUGAUCGGUCUGCCCUAUCCAUCUUUCUGGCACUGUUGUGCUGGGCUGGUGAGAUCACAGUCGGAUCGGCCCAGCACCGAGGUAGCUACGUCGUCGUAGUGUGCCUCCACGAUAGUCUCCCACUGAUCCCGGCUGAUCACGGUCACAUUCACUCACCAUACGUGCCCUCGUACCGUAUCAGGAGUAGCGAACCUGAACAGUUUGGCAACACCGCCCAGGUUGACGACGAAGAUAGGGAUAUUUCUUCUGAAAAAAAGGGAGGUUAUCAUCGGCGUGCCGGUGCAACUUGUGUCUCGGUGUGCUGAAUUAUCUGCGUGCCCGACGCGGGCAGAAAGCACGAGCGCACUCGAGCCGGUCGAUCCCAUCUCUCCAAGGCUUGCAGCUUUCACUGCGAAUGAUGAACAGGAGCUUGGGCGUUGGACGCCUAUGAAUACCGGGUCCAUGCAGCACCCUAGGACACACAACAACAAAAGCUAAUAAGCCACCCCUACAGCAGCAGGUCGUCAACAUAACCCAGCAGCAGCAGCUAGCAGCAAAGCCGCCGCACCCCCGGCACAAACAGAGAGAGAUCGAAAUGGCGCCCAAGAACCUCGUCCUCCUUGCCGCCCUCCUCCUCCUCGCCGCCGCCGUCGGUCCGGCGGUGGGCUUGAUUCCCUCCUUGUCUGGCAUUGGCAACCCCGUCGGCGUCGCCUCCGGCGUGGUGCCGUGCAGCAUCGGGAGCGCCAUCGACGUGGCGGCGGUCCCGCCGGUCGCCAGUAAGGACUUGCCACUUCUUCUUCUCUCCCGGGCGUUGCCUGUCAGCUGUUACUAGCUACUUACUAUAUAUACAUAUCCGUACGUAUUUAUAUAUCGUUGACGCUGACGUUAUUACGCUGUUAUCCUUUCCGUUGUAUCUGUCCGGCCAGACGCCAACGUGCAGGCGGUGUGCGGUAGCACCGUGGUGGCCAACGCGACGACGGACAGCUCCGGGGCCUUCACCAUCAUCAUGGGCUGAUCUGUUUUGAGCCUGCCGUCUGGAGUGCUCAACUCCCUGCUGAGCAGCCAGUGCAGGGCGGUGGUGACCACCCCGCUGGUCGCCUGCAACGUGUCCCUGGCCGGCACCAACGGGACGCUGCCCGCGCCGCUGCAGCUCCUGGGCAGCGUCACCGCCGUCGGCAGCAUCGUUGGGACCAUCUUGGGCAUCCCCGUCACGGUCAUCAGCGGCAUCCUCGCUCUUUUCGGCGGGGUCUUCUCCUUCGUCCCGAACCUCGGCUAGAGCUGCAUGUCUCUGGCCGUGUCGGUUCACGAUAUAUCGACUCCGAGUAGUACUGAUAACACUACGAAUAAAUCAGCAUGCACGCAGCAAUGCGACCCUGAAGUACAAUAAGGUUGCAUUGCCAUGCUUUUCCUUUGAACUGUCACGACACAUGUAUGAAGUACUACGUAAUAACAUGUCCGUACCUUAAAGCGUGUGCUAGUACUAAUAAGUACAUAUGUGUACUGCAUGCUCUUUUGUUGACUCCUCGUCCGUUAAAAACUAAAACCGAGUGUGUUUAUGCUGUAUAUUUUGUUGCUCGUGGCAAUUUUACCAUUACUAAUUGGAGAUUUCUCUUUUGAAGUCUUUAUAGGGAGCCACCUAGAAUCCCAGAAAGCAUAACAUCCAGCCAUCUAUUCGGUAGACUCAAGUUAUCAUAGCCAUUAAAUCUAUAUUUUCAAAAAAAUUACCCACUUGCUAUGCUGAAAAUAGCUUAAAAUAACCCCUAAAUAUAUAUCUAAAUUACCCACAUGUGAUAUUACAUAAAGUAAACUAAAGCAACCCCUAAUCUUCAUCUAAAUUACCAACUUAUGCUAUUAUUAAAAAUAAUUUAAAAUAAUCUCCUAAAUUUGUUUCGAAACUGCCCACCACCAGCAUAAAAAAUAACUUGAAAUAAAUCCUAAAUUUACAUCUAAAUUACCCCAAAUCAAGCAAAGGAGCUGGUGAAUCUAGUACCGAUUGUUAGGAGCAGGAUAGCGGGGAGUAAAGGAGAGAAUUGGAACUAAGGCAGGCAGUAAGAAUUGGGGGAAAAGAACAGCAAAUUGGACGGACUGGUUUAGAUGUUAGAAGUUCUGUUGACCCAAUUUAUGGCCGACAUACCGAAAGCAUUAGAGCGUGCGGGUCGCAAACAUAUCAAAUAGCUACGUAGACCUGUUAGACUAGUCCAACAACCCAGUUAGACCGGUUCUAGGGUUUUGCCCUGGUCGAUCGUACGAGAGGAUAACUACCAUGUUUACGUGAUGAAGGAUGGCUAGGUUUACGAGCAAAACAGCAAAUGGAUAACCAACACACUUAUGUGGUGAAGAACGACUAGUUUACAAGCAAACUAGCAAAGACCGUCGAAACUCUCACCCGGGAGGGACCCCGUCAGGGUGUGGACGUUGCCUGCGUGCCCUAGGGUUGACUAGCAAGCCUAGGACGCCAUCUAUGGUCAUGGAGAUAAGUAGAUGAACAACAAGGGAGGUUGUAGAAGUAGUUUAGGGUUUAGAAGAUAAAAAGUAAAUGCAUAGUUGUUUAAUUCGAUUGGGUUGCCCUCAAUUGGCCGUGACCCUUCAUAAAUAUAGGGUGGGGAGGUCCUGCCUCAGUAGGAGUCAAAGCUUAUACAAAUCCCGUGUCAAAAUACAACUCCUAACUCGGAUUAGGCUGGUCAAACCGAUCAAACCGCCCAUCCAAACCGAUCUGACCGGCCUACACAGGGGUGAAUCUUGUCAGAGCCAUAACUCUCUUGUCCGGACUCCAAAUUGGACGUUCUACGUAUGUAUUUUGAUUGUCUCGACAAGAUCUAUGCAAUGGUAAGUCCAAUCAGAGAUUUUACAAUAUUUAUAAAACUGGUAUGACUGAUUUGUUCAGAUGAUACCAAUUUUGAUCGCCAACAAGUUCAUACGUCGACACAGCGUGUCUCGCUCUCACCUCUCCUCUCCAAUAUCUGUUAUAGAUGGGCCUGGUCCAAUAUGUGCGUGCGAGCACUAGUUUUAAGUUAGUCUUCCUGGGUCUUAAACUGGCUCUUGGCCCAACCGCAACCUCCCAUGGUUUCCUGCCUGACUACUCCUGGCGGAUUCCAGCAACGAAAUGCUGACACGACGGUGCGGAAGGGGACGGCAGCGGUGGAUCCUGUUGGGCAAGAGCCUGAGGGCAGAGGCCGGAGCGGGGCUAGCAGCACCGAGAACGGGACGAAGCGGAGGCGGCGAGGACGGGGCAACGCUCGAUUUCUACGUGAUUCAAUUCAAGGACGACACCAUACCCUUGAUCGGUGCCCGUUUUUCAGCACGUGAUGAAUCAAACGCAACUCAGAACUCUUCCAUUUGCGAACAGUGACAACCCGUUAGCCUCUUUUUCCCUUAGAGCGGAGUAGGAACCAGGAUGUUUGGCAACACUUCACUUAAAAAAAAUAGCUCCACUUCAUUAACUUCAUCUUUUUGCUGCUUCACUUCACCAACUCUAGAAAAAUAUAGAAUUGUUGUAUGUGUUUGACUGAUUGCGGUGCUCUAACUUCAGAAACAUGAGGACUUAUUAUGAAUAAUCUAUUUUACCCAUUAUGAAUGGGCCACAUGUCAUUCUCUUAGCAUUUCUCCCCUUUUCCUCUCUGCGUGCAACCCCAUCUGCGCCAACUGCGGGUGGCCGUGCUUGGGAGGUGUCCCUAGAGGAGUAGCACCUGGCGCAUCCAGAACGCGCGCCUCAAGGACGAGCUCGACCGCGUUUGCGCACUCGCGCGGCAAUUUGCUGGACGCAAAAUCCAUCUGCUUCAAGAUGCAGUGCACUAAUGUGAUGUGCUAGAUGCACCUUGCCUUGAUCUUCUCCCUCUCGAUUUGUUUCUUCAUCAGCAUCAAUGUGUUUAUUGAUUCCAGUGACUUCAUCAAUCAAUUCAAUAAAGAUGCGACUACUUCCGUCGCAACGGCCGCGACACCUCGGUCUCCCGCGGCGGCGCGCUCCUCUGCUUCACCGGCACCGAGGUCCUCCUCGCGGACCUCAGCUACUUCAGCGCCCGCUCCAUCCAGCUCAAGGGCGGUGUGGCCCGGCGCCGCCGCGGGGGCCAGGGGUGGCGCGGCCUCGUGGCACCGGCGCUGCUGCGGGGGGCAGGGGCGGCACGGCCAUAGCCCUUGGGGGCAGCGGAGGUGCGGCCCGGCGAGCUGCGGAGGAGGGGCGCGCGGCUGGGAAAAGCCGCAGGACCUGUUAUGGAUACAAUCAUUACGCUAAACCACUAACACUAGUGCAAAAAUACAAUGGUGCUGGGAAAAGCCGCAGGACCUGAAAAUGGGACGGCAACGGCUGUCACGGUGGAGCAAACACUUGCCGACAUCGCUUACUCUCGCUUUGGCAAAAAUUAAAGUCACCGAUCUCGCGCAUUUUGGUGGCGCGGAGAGCUAGUCUAGGCCUGCGCGACCGGUUCCGAAAGGCAGAAAAGGUUCAGAUUCACAGAAGAGGGAUUUGAUCGAUCGCAAAAGCUGGUUUUGCCGUAGUGGCACCAUGGCUGUUCAUACUAACUUUCGAUGAUGGCGACAAGUGAAUCAUUCUAAGCCAAACAGCUGGUUUCACCUGAUCAAAACGGAGGUAACAGACGCCACCUAACAACGUCCCGGCCGGGUCGUUCGAGCUUAUAAAUAGCCAAAUAGGGCGCCUCUCCAUCUCGACCACCGCAACAAGCAGUCGAGCAAGUAAAGCUAGCUCUCAUCAAGCUAAUAGCAUCGCGCCGCUUUCCACAGCUCCGAUCCUGUGCAAUGGCACCUAGAGCGCCCGCUCUUCUUCUCGCCGUCGCCGUGGCCGCCGCGGCGUGCGUGGCAGCCUCCGCCCAGAGCAGGCUUGGCAGGAUCGUCGUCUCCGGCGUUGUGCCGUGCAACACUGGCACGCUGAUCGACGUAGCCUCUUCCCCGGCAUUUCCAGGUACGCCGCCGCCCGCAGCCCGCUGUGGUCACUGGUCGCAGCCAGCGUGACCCUCUAAACAGCUGGUGUAUAACGAGGCACGUAACAUUCUCACGUGUACUUGCCGCGGCGGCGCAUGCGUGCGUGCAGACGCGAAGGUGGAGCUGCGGUGCGGCGGCGGCGCGGUGGCGCGGGCGACGACGGGCCGCGACGGGUCGUUCCAGAUGGAGGCGGACGCCGUGGCCGGCGCGCUGGGGGCGCUGGUGGGCGCCUGCCAGCUGGUGGUGGACACGCCGCUGGCCAAGUGCAACGCGACGCUGCCGGCGGCCGGGGCGCUGGUGUCCAGCCUGCAGGGCCCGCUGGCCGGGAUGCUCGGCAGCGUCUUCCGACUCGCCCCUGCUGGAUUCUCCUUCCGCAUGAACUGAUGAUAUGAUGGAUGAUCUCUCUGAAACUUGAUGAUGGGUGCAUCUAAAACAAAUGAGAGCGAGUAAUGAAUAAGCUAAACAAAUAAACGAACUUAUUACAAUGUAUGCUGGUGAUGACUGAUCAUAGUUACCAGACAAGUAUGAUGAAAAUGGAAUCAUCUGCUCAGGCACCCGUAGUUCUGUUUCUGAUGAUGCUUUGUUAGCAAUCUGCAGAAAUUGGGAUAUUUCCUCUUAAAUGAAAGGCAGCGCUCCUGUCAUUAGUUCGAAAAAAAAGAAAUUGGGGUAUUUCCCGGCAUAUCACCGGCAACCAAGGCCUUAACACCCGAGGGUGUGCCAACCCGAGGAUAUUUCCCUUGAAGCUGUCUGGAAAUUAAAUUCGAUGCAAUCUGCAAAAAUCAAGACAAGUUUGACUGUACAAUCAACUUUUCUUUAGUGAUACUGGGAUUAUUGCCAGUCCACUUGACUGGGCUUUGACCAAUAUUAGUUUUGGGUGGGUUAGUACUACAUGGAUUCGGUCCAAUGUCUUCAGUUGGGCCUAGGAUAGGCCCCAUAAGCACUAAAACAGUAAAACUCCCUGAAAGAAAUAGUUAGCUACGGGCACUACUGUCGCAUUAAUUACAAUCCAAUUUUGAAACCUAUGUUAUCUUAUUUUCAUGUUGCGUGUAAGUUAUGCUUCUAAAAUUCAAAUUUCAGUUGAGUAACCUAUUUUAAAUAUUUUUAUGAAGGAAGAAAGUUGUGCCAACAUAGUUUUUAUAAUUUUUUUUAAAAUAUCUAUUUUGGAACUCGAUGCUAAGUACUUCCUCCGUCCCUUUUUAUCUGUCACUUGGGAAGCAUGUUUUGCUAUUCAUUACUUUAGUAAUCUUCGAUGGAAGAAAGCGGAAUAAUCAUUUCAAGAGUGACAAUUUACCCCCAACAGUUUCUAUAUCAAUGGCCAGGGCCAGCAGUUUGUAGUCUUAUGUUUGUUAUCUAUAACCAUUGAUAAUUUGUUUGUUGGGAAUGAAGUUGUUUGCAAUGUAAAAAUACUAGUGCAAAAGAAAAAAAUAAUUGAAAAAGUGUCGGCCAUUCAAGAAAAAUGCUAAGGACUACUUAAAACUGGUGGCUAGUCAUAAAAUUACUAUAGGGAAAGAUUAGAACUCUUGUAACGAAUAGAGCGUGAUGCAUAUACCUCACGAGCAAUUUUCAGCGCCAUCAUCAGGCAUUUGAUUUUAGGAGUAGGAUCAUUUUCUCCUUGUUGUGAACAUUACUUUCUUAUUUUGGUUUGAGAAAUGAGAUAGGCUGAUCCAUCAUACAAAGUUAUUAGUCAUAGGCACACAUGUCUAAUCUGAAUAUUGAAUGGAGCUCAAUCUCCCGCCAAAAAUUGUUCACAGGAUGGUCUCUUAAUGAACUGCUCGAUAGAAGCUUAGUUGAUGAUUCCUCGAAUCAAACAUUUGAUUAGAUCGAUCGAUCGGUGGUACACCGAAUAUUAGUGUUUGUGAUAAUGUUUACUAACAAAGAUAAUGUUUAGUGAUUAGAUGUUAGUAGCGUUAACUAGAUAAUCUAAGACCAAUGAAAGAUGUUAGUAGCGUUAACUAAAUAAUCUUUCACCAUCGCCGACCUGACUUUUCACCACCAAUAUUCUCUAGGAUCUACGCCUCGGUUCCCUGUACGCAUCAUCAACGACAGCGCGGUAGCAAGGUGACAAAGUUUGAGCAUGCCAGAGAUACGACAGACGAAAUUAUUGGCACAAGUGGGCUUCUCCUUCUCUCUCUCUCUCUCUCUCUCUCUCUCUCUCUCUCUCUCUCUCUCUCUCUCUCUCUCUCUCUCUCUCUCUCUCUUCCCACUCCAGCCCAUCUCAAUUCUUACCCGAAAAAAAGAGACAGGAACAGAUUAUUUCUCAAUGGUACGGUAACGUAAUAACCAAUACUAUUAUUCGUGGAUGCGGCACCAUUUUCACAAGGGAAUCGGGCACCGUAUCAUCUUCUUGGCACUGUACGGCACGCGUGAACCGGAGGAAUUCCCACGGGGACGCCGGCGUCGAGGUGGAGCAUGGCCGGCCUGGCGUGCCGGCAGCCCGGCAGUGCCUCGCCACACGCUCUCGGGUCGGACCACGCACCUAUAGGCUGCCGCUAAUAUAAUAUAAUAGUAGCCCACACACCACCCCUACUAUCGCCAUGACCACACAUGCAUUAUCAAGGCCAGUCUUCAAUUACCAUGGUGCUGAUGAGUGAUCGAUCCUCAACUCAUCAAAUUGACACAGAGCUCGAUCAGAAAUAGUACUCUCGAGCUAGCUUAGCGCCCGUGCCAGUUGCCCGGCCGCUGGCAUGCACGCCCAACGCGGACAGAUCGAAGCGUGUGCGCUUCGACCACUGGAAGCACGCGCGGCGGUGAAGCUGACCCGUGAGCCUCAAGUCCUGAACCUACUGCUAGCCAGCUACACGGUGAAGAACCACGCAUGCAGCAGCAAGUUGUUGGCCUCCCAUGCCUAUAAAUACCGGAUCCAUGCAGCAGCAUGAGCUACAACUAACCGAACAACAGAUCGAACAACAGAUCGAGUGAGAUCGAGGAGUGAGCUAGAGUACUAGCAACGGGCAGCAAUAUAAUGGCGCCGAAGAGCCUUGUCCUCGCCGCGCUCCUCACCGUCGUCGUCGCCGCCGGCCAGGUGACCCGCUGUGCCGGGUUGGGGGCGAGCCCCAACGCCAGUGUCGUCAUCUCCGGCGCGGUGCCAUGCUCCACAGGGAACAACAUCAAUGUGGCCACGGCGCCGGCGUUCCCUAGUAAGGCAUAUCGAUCGAAUCAUCGAUCAUCUCUCUGUCUAAUUAACUCGCCUAGAGACAUUAUUCCCGCAGUUGUACACGCCUAGUAUGAUCGUAAUUAAAUUUCCCUUGUUUCUUGCAUUGGUCCGGACAGACGCAACCGUGCAGUUUAUGUGCUACGGCAAGGCGAUGGCCGGCGCCACAGCGGACUCGAGCGGGAACUUCGUCAUCACCAUUCCCGGUGCCAGCAGGGAUCAGCUCACCGCUAUAAUGAGCAACCAGUGCAACCUGGUCGUGACCACCCCACUGGCCGCCUGCGACGCGUCCCUGGCCGGCACCUCCGGGAAGCUGGUGUCGCCGAUGAAGUUCCUGGGCAUCACCACCGGCAGCGGCGGCGGCGGCGGCGACCUCGGCCUCGGCGGGAUCAUCAGCGUCAUCAUCCAGAUCCUCACUGGCAUCCUUAGCGGCAUCCUCAACCUCGCCCCCCAGGCCUUCUCAUUAAUCCCCUAGACCCCUUCAUGCAUGGCUCCAAUAUCAGCUGGAGCUACUGGUCUGGCCGUGGCCCUGUUGAUCUAUCAUCGACGCUAUAAAUAACUAAGCAUAAAUUAAAUCAAUGCGUGUAGCAGGCAUGAUAUGUUCAGUUGGCCUGCUUUACUUUAGUUUGUGUUGCCAAAUCAUCACGUGUGUUACUAUAUAAAUCACCUACUCGUACCAAUCAGCAUGCUUCUAAGAAGCACUUAUAUGUAUAUUGUGUAACUUUUAUUUGUUGCCUCGUCUCUUGAUUGUGAAAAAUCAAAGCUAUGUUUGUAAUAAUUAUACCACUAAACACAAUUAAUUGCAAUGUGUUUGUGCAUAUUAGAGUGGACCCAAAAUGUGUUUUUUACCUUUUGAUGUAUGGAGCCCAAGCCGUAUCUCCAUGAGGCGAGAUAACUGCUCCAUUCUCUCUAUUCUUUCAACUAUAUGCUCCCUCUGGAGUGUUUUACAUAUCACAUUAGGUUCGUCCUAAGUCAAGCAUGUUCAACUCUGACCAAGUUCAACAUCUACAAUACCUAAUUUGUUUCGUUGAAUGCACCAAGGAAUAUAUUUUGAUAGUGCAUAUGUUUGGUAGUAUAAUUGUUGUUGUAUUUUUCUAUAAAUCUGGUCAAAGUUGGAUAGGUUUGACUUAGGACAAACCUAAUGUGACAUGUAAAAAGAAAUACGGAGGGAGCACUACUGGAAAACUGAGCAUUCGUCCCGAGGCUCAGUACCAGUUGCAUUUUGACCCGAUACUAAUAUGAGCAUUAGUACCGGGCCUAACGGAUAGUCCUCGAGGAGCUCCCGUCCCGCUCACCUGGCCACCUUAUCCACCCGCUCCACCCGGCCACCUUCGUUCUUAUCCCGUCUCCUCCCCCCACUCCUCUCUCUCUCUCUCUCUCUCUCUCUCUCUCUCUCACACACACACACACACACACAACAGCUCACUCCUCUCCUCCUCUGCCUCCCCUUCCCUCCCCCCUCCGUUCGCCCCUCACCGGCAGUGAGGAGCAGCGGCGGGGGAGGUGAGGCGGCGGCGGGGCGGAGGGCGGAGAGCGGCGGGCGGGCAGAGGGCAGAGAGCGGCAGCGGGGCGGGCGGAGGGGCGACGGGCGGGUGAAGGGGUGGAGGGCGGCGGGGCGAAGGGCGGCGGGGGUGGGUGGCGGGGGGGGGGGACCGGCGAGGGAAUUUCUUUUUUUUAAAAUUUGUUAAUACCCCUUUAGUACCAGUUUUUUCAGCCAGUACUAAGAGCCCCCAGUAGUGAUGGGGUGGAGUACGUGCCAUGUCACCAAAGCAUCCUAUAUAUACCCUCAUUUAAUGCAUAUGAUGCAAUGCAAUAGGACUAGUAGCCUUACUACAUUAAUGCUUCCUUUUUACCUGAGGCUCUUUCUGUGUUUAAUUUCUAGUCUAUCCCAAAUUAUUCGGGACUAAAAACCUUUGUUAGUUGGUAUUGUAGGCACAUGUCACAAUUUUUAAAAUUCAAGCCACUGCAUCAACACCACUGAAUCAGGCAACAAUCAAUCUCUAUACGCAUAUCAUGUUCAUAAAACAAAGUUGAAGUAAACUUAACAACAAAUUGGGCAAAAAUGUAAAAAUAGUAAAAUUGUUUUAGUUAUUAAGGGGGUGUUUGGUUCCCUUUACUUAUUUUUAGCACGUGUCACAUCGAAUGUUUAGAUACUAAUUAGGAGUAUUAAACGUAGACUAUUUACAAAACCUAUUACAUAAGUGGAGGCUAAAUGGCGAGACGAAUCUAUUGAGCCUAAUUAAUCCAACAUUAGCAAAUGUUUACUGUAGCAACACAUUAUCAAAUUAUGAACUAAUUGGGCUUAAUAGAUUCGUCUCGCCGUUUAGCCUCUACUUAUGUAAUGGAUUUUGUAAAUAGUCUACGUUUAAUACUCCUAAUUAAUAUCUAAACAUUUGAUGCGACGGGUGCUAAAAAUAAGUAAGAGUAACCAAACCAGACCUAAGUGUCCCGGCCCUCUCAUGUCAUGUUCACUAGUAUAGACAUUUCUUAGGAUUCAAUCUCAUGGUAUACAUAUAUGGACCCCUAGAAGAUCCUCUACCUUGCCCUGGUCGGACUUGGUACAUCGUAUUAUGACUUUCUUCUCUCACUAUGAAUUGAGCACAUCUAGAUUUGAUACCACGCUGAAUUUCAGUAAGAAAAAAACUAAAAUAAUUGUUAUACUUGAUUAUCCUUUAUUAAGAAAACAAAUCUAGCCAGUAGUGAUAUUUUAUACGACAGAUGCAAUAAUUUUGAUAGUCUAAAGAACAUUAGUAUUGAAGUAAUAUCAGAUUACGUGCUUUGCAUAGCAAAUAUUCAAUGGAAGAACAGAAGUGACGUGAGUUUUGAUGCACGACAACGACAGUACAUACCAAGCAGGACAGAUGUGUAAACCCUUGUGUCGUGCCAUGUCAAAAAGUACUGCAGGAAAUCAGAGAUCCGUGCCUGCUAAAUACAGGACGAGCAAGCAACGCGCUGAUCGAUCUCCCAACGCCAAUAAUAAAAGGGUGUUUGGCACGGAGGGGUUAAAUUUUAGAGCCUGUCACAUCGGAUGUUUGGACACUAAUUAGGAGUAUUAAACAUAGUCUAAUUACAAAACUAAUUGCACAACCUCUAGGCUAAAUCGCGAGAUGAAUCUAUUAAGCCUAAUUAGUCCAUGAUUUGACAAUAUGGUGCUACAGUAACCAUUCGCUAAUGAUGGAUUAAUUAGGUUUAAUAGAUUCAUCUCGCGAUUUAGCCUAGGGGUUCUGCUAUUAGUUUUGUAAUUAGCUCAUAUUUAGUUCUUCUAAUUAGCAUCCGAACGUGUGAUGUGACAGGACUAAAGUUUAGCCCCUGACAUCCAAACGCUCCCUAAGGUGACAAGUUGAUCGGAGAAUGCGCGCCAAGGUUUGGUAGUCACAUUUCGGCACGCACGCACCGCGCCCCCUGCAGCUGCAGGCCGGGGGACAUGGACGUCCUCCGGGGACGUCUACCAGUGCCGGAGCUGGACCCGUCGCGCUCGCGAUGAAACGAAGCACACGGCCUCCGGGGGAUAUCGGGGGUGAAAGAUGUUGGAGUUGUUCCAAAUUCACCCCAGGAAAUAGGUCGGGCUUCUAACGGAGCGGAGGCGUCAUAGACGUGUAACCCAAAACUCUUGAGAUAGUGAGAUUGUUGCUGGCUGGUGCCCCGUUAAAUCGUGUGUCUCCUCUGUGACUUGAUUCUUUACUUCAUAUUUCUAUACGUCGUUCAUAACAAAAGAUUAUACGGCGAGCCGGCAAUCGACAGCUACCGCGCGCUGGCCAAACUGGCUUUCGAUCUGCUUGCCAGGCUGCUCACUGUUGUUUCGAAGUUGGAACGGUGUAGUACUCUGAACAAAGUAUCAUCCUGAAUUCCUGAUGUGCCUUCGCGAACAAAUAAAAUAUUUACGUAGUAGUGCCACCUACGCAAAUAUCUCCGUGGGCUCAAAAUCCAAGUUACAUCGCAACAGCCCACGCUUGGCCACGGUCCCAUAAUCAACCGUAGUUGGGUAGAGGGUACUGCAACAAAGGCCCAAGCUGCUCGCGCGUACUAAUCGCAAAAAGAAAAAAGGAAAAAGGAAAAAAGGAAGCUGCUCGCGCAUACGAGUUUCAAGACACAGUCAAGUUCACUAAUCACUCCAUUCUAACCGCUACUGAUCUGUAUUUCUCCACGGAUACUAUGUACGCACGCAGGCUAUUCAAAUUCCCGUCGUCUCUACGCAGCGCACACAGAAAACGCCUGAACGAUCCUCCUCCGAUCCUCCAUUAUCCGGUCACUCGUUGGCCUCGGCGUCGUCGUGCUUCUUGACGGGCUCGAACCGGCCGUGUCCGUGCUGGUGCAUGACGGAUUGGAGCUCGACGGGGGUGGCGGACAGGGACUUGAUGAUGCUGCUCCCGAACCCGUUGCGCGGCGACGACAGCGGCGCGCCGGUCGGCUUGGGCAGGCUGAGCCCCUUGUGCAGCCGCACCCGCCGCUGCGCCAUCUCCACCUGCCCCAUCAGGUGGGCAAGCCCUUCCUCCUCGUCGGCCUCCUCCGACGCGGCCUCGUCGUCGUCGUCCUUGCGCGCCGGCGCCGCCUUCCGGUACGCCAUGUACAGCACCAGCUGCGCCGUGCCCAGGACGAAGCCGAUGGCGUUGGGGACCUGUGCGGCGCGUACGUGCCACCGGCACGUACGGCGUCAGGUUCAGAUGUUUUGGGAAUAGAAAUAGUGAUCGAUACACGUACUCCGAUGAAGUAGUCUUUGACAAGCACAGAGUAGACGCUCCAGACGCCGCCGUUGAGGAAGAGGAAGAAGGACAGGGAGAAGGGCAUGUACUCCACGCUCCGGGUCUUCACCACCGUCCGCUGCAUGUGCAUCACACGCCCAAAGCCAUUAUCAGUGUUCGUACAAGCAAGCCAGCGGACUUUCUGGAUCCCACAAUGUCACCAAGGCAUCAAACAAGCUGGAUGCAUCGUACAAGGGAGUUGGGAUAGUGGCUGUAAGGAUUUAGGUAAGUGGUCAGGUUCAUGGACAUCUGAUGAAUUCGUGCUAGAUAGACACAUUGCUGCUUCUGGUGCGGCUAUAAAUCAAAGAAAACGACAUCAGACCAAACACUCCUCCAUGACAGGUCAGGAAAGUAGGUGCGAGCAUUGGUAAUUUGGUGCCAGUGCUACCUUAUCUUAACAUUCUAAGGUAGGCAUGUUCUAGAAAGGUGUAUGGUAUCUCCCCAUAGAUAAGGUCACCUUGCGUUUCCAUUUCCUAAUAAGAGAGCAUCUCAAGUCAAAAAGAAACAGAGACGCCGGAACACACGCUAUUACCAAAAGUGCGAAACGAGUUCUUGUUUAGUUGCCCAACUUUAGGGUGCCAAAAUUAAUAUAGCAACACUGCAGCGUUUCAUUUGUAUUUAUGAAUUAUUGUCCAAAUAUUGACUAAUUAGGCUCAAAAGAUUCGUCUCGCAAAGUACAACAAAACUGUGCAAUUAGUUUUUGAUUUCGUCUACAUUCAGUACUCCAUGUUUUCAUAGUGCUAAAAUUGGAAUUUUGGAGUGAACAUGCAUACGUGUGCAGCAUCAAACCUGCUCAUCAGCUAAAAGCUAACCUUUCCCCUUUCCCCAAGAUUCUUUUUUAAAGAAAAUGGCUAGUGUGACGAUACUCUGCCUCGCAAUCGAGUAUCAGUUCAACAUGAAGUGAUCUCAGUAGUACUGACCAUCGCGCCCAGCGGCGCCGCGUACAUCCCGAUCGUCAGCACGGCGCACAGCACCCCGACGGUGAGCAGCCGGGCGCCGCCGUGCAGCGCCGCCAGCGUCACCACGACGACCGCCGCGAGGAAGCCGACGUUCACGGCCAGCACCAGCUUCACCAUCUUCGCCUGAAGAACCACAGCAAACAUUCAGGAGCCAUGGCGUUUCAAUUCCUUCAGGGAAGGUACGAGAGACGAUAGGCGCAUGAAGGGAAGGGAUGGACAACCUUGGUCUCCCUGGGCGCGUAGAUGAGGUAGAGCGUGACGUAGGCGGCCUCGAGCGCGGCGCCGGCGCCGUUGACGGUGACGACGAGGAGGCCGCCGGGCUUGAGCAGGCCGUAGAAGGUCCAGAGCGAGGUGCUCAGCAGGGUGGUGACGUACGGCAGCCACCGGAAGUCCUCCGUGCUCCUGUUCCUCACGAUCCGCCGGAACGUCUUGCUGAAGGAUUUCAGUUCAGUUCAGUUCAUCGAACACAAAAGCGAAACCGCCAGUCAGUAACCAGACUGCGCUGCACCUACGCAUAUAUGCAUCUUGAAUAAACAGAUGAGAAUUGCUUGAUGGGAUUAACUCACAUCGGCGACGCGAAGACGAGGAUGGAGAUCACGUUCCCUGCGAAGAACAAGAUGAAACCAUCAGGGUGGAGGGAACUGGUUGAUGCAAGAGAGGACGCGGUGAUCGAUUCGGUUGGAGGAAUGGAAAAGAUGAGUGGAGAGCCAGAGCGUCUGAUGCCCCCGGUGACGAUGAACUGACCUAUAAUCCCGACGACGAAGCUCGGAUCCGCUGCCAUUGCGCCCCCAACCUCUGUUCUUCCGCUAGGACGGCGAGGGGAAGUUUGUGAGGGUUGCCGAGAUGACACGGAGAACCCCUGGGUAUAUGUAACUGCUCCACGGUUGUGCAGGAUUUAGGCGUCUUUUCGGGGGAACACGCAUACCUCCCUCCUCGGGCUCAAGAUUCUGCAACGAAGAGGCAUGUCCGCGAGGGACCAACCGGAGCCAAGGGCCGCCCGGUGCGGCAGAGCACGCAGCGAAAUCCUUCUCAAACACUCGCCUGAGAUUUUCACCUGCUCCCUCACCUAAGCAAUUAACUUGGCACCGGCCCGCUGCUUUUCGUGGAGUACGCAUAUGGUAACAAACCGGGAAAUCACACUAGGUAACUACCACGUGCUCGUUCCUUGGUCACACGUGUCAGCAGCAGGGAGUGGUCAGCAGUCACCCACCACGGCUGAUACGUGAUCCUGCUGGCUCCGGCUCGUGGUUUAGCAGCAGAGAUAGUGCUGUCCGGUGAGCCGGAACCAGCCGCGGUGGCCGGAUAGAAUCCGAGCACCAGCGAGCUGACCGGCCGGAGGUAGCUAACCGAAAGGUGGUGGACAGUGACGUCCGCCGUGGCCGGGGGUGGGGGCCGGAACCCAGAAGGGGAGACAAGGACAUCCCGAUGCCAUGCAGGGCCCCAUGAGACGUUCUAGAGCUGACACGUCACGCGCCUGGUGGCGACGCGGAGGAGGUGGUGGUGAGAGCGAGCCCGUGCGCUGGCGGCAGGGCAUAAACAAUCCUAGAUAUCCCGGCGAUCGGGAGAAAGCGAGACCAGGUGACGUCGUCGUCGUCCGCGACGUCGGCGGGUGUGGCGGCAGCAUCGUGUAUCCCGUUGCGAUUGCUGGAGCAGGGCAGUUAGAUGGGAGGGCGGCCAUAUCAGGCGAGCGGUUUCUCGCUGUUUUGUUUUGUUUCUUGCCUUGCCGCCGCGCUGCGGAUCGCGGAUGAGAGCAGGAGAUUGACGCGGCGUUCUCGGCUUCUCUCCGGUGGAUCUUGCAGCUCGGGCAGGGGCUUCCCCGUGCCUCGUUGUCCCUACUUCGACUCCGCACGUACUCGGCGGUCGACACGGCACCAGCGAACCAUUUGCGACAGUGUUGUACUAGUGCCUGUCCUCUGUUCGAUGGAGACGCUGAACGGCGGGAGGGACGUGUCCCGCGCGCGGACUCCUCCGGUCUUGUCUGUUAUCGAGUCUGAUGUGACGUUUUCUACUCCCCAUUUCUAUGGAGCGUUUGGUUCCUUUUGCUUAUUUUUAGCAAGUGUCACGUCAAAUAUUUAGAUCAAAUGUUUAGAUACUAAUUAUGAGUAUUAAACGUAGGCUAUUUACAAAACCCAUUACAUAAGUGGAGGCUAAAUGGCGAGACGGACCUAUUAAACUUAAUUAAUCUAUCAUUAGCAAAUGUUUACAACAUAUUGUCAAAUCAUGGACUAAUUAGGCUUAAUAGAUUCGUCUCGCCAUUUAGCCUCCGCUUAUGUAAUGAAUUUUGUAAGUAGUCUACGUUUAAUACUCCUAAUUAGUAUCUAAAUAUUCGAUGUGACGGGUGCUUAAUAAGCAACCAAACCAAACCAGACCUACGGUCCCUCGACUCUGUUUGCGCGGUUCAAAUUCAGGAUGCUAUCUGAAGCGCUGACGACGCCAGCAAAAAACCAUCCAACUCUGUUACAGCAGCACCAGCGUAUAAUUCACAGGGUAAUGCUAGGUGCUGUCAUGUCAUGCAGGUGCUAAAUGGUCCAUUCCUCUCCGGCGUACAGCCAUUCAACUCUCUAAAAAAGUGGAUCCUAUAUGAAAUCAAAUAUACCUAAAAAAACUUUCAUCCCUCCUCCGUUCCCUCGCUACGCCACCACUCAUUCUGAAGAAAGAUAUUUUAUUUGGAGCACCGUGCGCAAAAUUUAGCACCAUGACUAAGGCGGUGCUCCAGAGCACCCUAUGGUCUAGCGUAUAGCAUCCCUGGGAAUCUUUCUCACUCUUCGGAGCACCCUCUAAAAUCAAACGCUGGAGCUACUCUUGCCUUACCCAACUAGCCAAGUAGGAGGAGUACUAGAUCAACGCACUACUCUCCAUGAUAAUUGCUAACACACAACAGAAUUUAUCCUGGAAUGGGACAACAAAAUAUGCGAGUGUUUUUCGGCCAAUUAUUCAUCCACGGGAAAACAAAACGAACCCGCGUUGUCUCUCCACGAGGCGACUCGGGGACGAUUCCCAAGCCGCCAAAGCCUCACCGUCGGCAGCGCCCUGACCGCCGUCGCUACCGGCUAGCAGCGGCCCCCUCCCCUUCCCGUCUUCCUUCCCUCCCUCCAUUUUUCCCCUCCUCGCUCCCUUCAUUCUCUCUCUCUAUGUCUGUCUCUUCUUCUAGAUCUAGAUCGAGAUCUCGUGGGCGGCGGCGGCGGCGGCGGCGCGGGGAUUAUCCGCGGCCAUGGGCGACAGCGGCGGCGCUCGGGACCCCCCGGUGUCCGCUUCUCAUGGCCAUGGGCGCCGGCAAUGGCACUCAUGGCCAUGUGCGGCUGCUGCUUGCAGCCUUCGGCGUUGGCGGUGGUGCUUUGUCAGCUGCUCGCGCCAUGGGUGUCGACAGCGGCUCACGGGGUCGCAGCCCUGGACGACGGUGGCUCAGGGCCCUUCGUGCGGCAUCGACGGUUCACGCCCGGUGGUGCUGCUCACGGCCUUGUCUUGUAGCGGCUUAAAUCCUGGCGCGCCCGCUGCUUUUGCGCCGGGUGACAGAUUCCUAUACUAGGGGUACCUCGAGGAAGGGAUUUAAGGUAAUUAGGCGCAAAAAGGCCAAAAGGCCCAACAGUAAGAGGCAUACUGGAGGCGGCCCAGACGACGCCACGGCCGAUCACCUGACCUCCCUUGGUCAGGAGUUGAGAGCCAUAACUCGCCGGUUGAGUCAGAUUGGAGGCGGAACCCGCAAGGGGCCCACAGUGCCCCACCCACUUCUUGACUAAGGGGCAACCGAUGACGUAUCGGGAGCAUUAAAUGCGGGGCGUGGCCCUCCUGACCGUCCCAUGCUGGGGACAUGACCUGGCGAGGGGAGCCAGCCUUUAGCCGGGGGUCCAAGGAUGAGGCCACACCCCUCGGACCGCCCAAGAUGACCUACAAAGCGAAGCCAUGCGCGGUCGUACGUGACCACAUGCCCCGAUGUCAUCAUCAUCCUCACCGCCGGGGUGACCCGUCAAGGUCAAGUCCUUGCCCCCACGCCAGGCCCCGUACGAGCUCGCAGGCGAGGUGGGACCCAGCGCUAGGCGUAACGGCAUGGGGUGGCUGUGAGCACACUAAGGAGGUCAGGGAAAGCCGAGAGAAGCGGCACACCCCGUUCAGGCCACUGACCAAUGCUCACCCACUUAUCUUCAGUACGGUUGUCACCAACAGUUUUCGUCCCGUUCACUGCCACGGGUUAGCACACGGGAUAGAGGCACGCAGCGGAGCAGGCCAGGCUGUGUGUAAGCAGCCCACGCCGCACAGGAGCCACCGUAUCGGGCGUGCGAAGCCCACGAUCGGCCAAGAAGACAGGACAAGAAAGUCUCUUGGUACAAGGCUGCCCGACCAAGCCACAGCCCCCGAACUCUAAGGUCGGGGACCCCCUCCAUUUAUCAACAUUGUCACCCAGUCCCUGCCCUAUAUAAAGGGAACUGAGCCCUUCUUCUCGAGAGCUCUCUCUCGCAUUCAUUCACAUACACCCCACACUCACACGCAUAGCACGAACGCUUGCUUGCAAGCACCCUGUUGUAAAGCCCAGUGCACUUAAUCCAAGGAACAUGACCCCUGCAGAAACUGAACGUAAGGAUCUUCCCAAACCGGUAUAACCCCUUGUCUCUUGUGUGCUAGCCAUUGGAAGUGAGGAGCGCGGCGUACAAUCACUAGUCAGCGGUACGAAACACCGACAUCGGGGCUCGCGGCCUUGGUGGCGGCGGCUCACAGCAUAGCGCGGCAGGUGCUUGGCGCCAGGCUUGCAGCCUUGGCGGCAGCGGCACCAAGCGCGGCAGAGGCUCGGUGCCGGGGCUAGCGGCGGCGGCGCUUAGCAGUGAUUGAUGCUUGCUGGCGCAUGAUGAGGGGACGCCCGAGCAUGCAUGGUGCUAUCUGGUGGCAGCGGGGACGCUCGCGUACGUCACCAGUGCCCUGCGACAGGGGCCAACGACUUCUAUGGCACGGCAAGGAUGAGUUGCAACAGGGGCCAUGCACCGGGACUAGGCAUAGAGGUGAAAGCCAGCCCGUUGUACGGGUCGAUGACGGCGAUGCCUUCAGGCGCUGUUACUUACUUGGAAGCGUCGAUUGAUCUGCCCUUCUCCCAGUGCCCAUCGCUAUGCCCUUCUCCCCCCACACGAUUGGCGCAUUCUUCCUGGGUGAAAACCCUGACUAUUUGGUCGGGUGACGGCGUCGCCAAUAGUGUCGCAUCCCUCCUUGGAGGUGUCACUUUGGAUGAUUGCGCAUUCUACUACUGCUAGCUGCGAGGUAUCUUCUAGAGAGAAAAAAAACAAAAAAGAAAGGAAAAAAAGGAAAAUAAGAGGUGGCGGCGGCAAUGGUGUUGUUCUUUGGUGGGGUGCUGGUGUGGUGGUGGUUGCUGGUGUUGAUGGUGAUGAUAUGGGUGACACCGGAUGGUGUUCCGGUGGAGUUGCAGACGGUGAUACUGUGGAAGUGUUAAGGCCACUUGUGGCGGCCCUGAGGAGUUGCGGUGGAGUGAUGAUAUUUGUAUAUCAGUCGGAGUUGUCUCUUUAAGUUUGAAUUCGGCGCGUGUUGAUGUCCCAAUCCAACUGGUUGUUGUUGAGUGGUGGUGUUUUUCUGCCAGCGUUGUUUUCAUUUGUUUUUUUCUCAGUCUGGACUUCAUUUUCUUUUUAAUAUAAUCCGAGCUGUCUGCUUCGUUAAAAAAAAUGCGAGCGUUUUCGUCGGAGGAGUCACGAUCACGACGCAAAAGCACCCAGCUUCCAUAGAAAGCCCCACCCAACAGUGUUCUACUAGUGACUAAAAAAAAUGCCCGGCUCGGACCGUUAAGGCCCAUAUUAUCUACGCCCAGGCCGCCGACAGUCCACAAGGGCCAGCCCAUUUCCUGGGCAACGGAACGGCCGAGCGGCGUGUCAAGCAAUCCUCUCCCGGGAAACGGGGGAAAAGUAAGCGAGGGAAAACCCCACCAGGUUCCCGCUCGAACAUCCGAACCGCCCGCCGCUGUCCUCCGGCGAUGGCGGCGACGACGGCCCCGGCCAGCCAACCCUCCUCGCAGCAACCGCCGCCGCCGCCUCCCACAGCCGAAUCCGUCCUCAGGCAGGCCUCCCGGGACCCCUCCGGCGCGGCGGCCCAGCUCCCGGAGCUCCCGCUCGACGCCCUCGCCGACAUCCUCGCCUCGCUCUCCGCGGCCUCUCCCGCGGGCCACCUCGCCCUCCUCCCCGCGAUCCUCUCGCUCAACCCCUCCCCCUCCGCCGUAUCCUCCGCGCUCUCCGCCCUUCUCUCCGCGCCCAGCUGGCCCUCCGCCACGCUCCUCGCCGUCGCCUCCCUCCUCCGCGACCUCCCGCCGGCCUACCGCAACCGCGUCCCGGCCUUCCUCGGGAAGAUCCUCUCCCUCCUCCCCAGUGCCGAUGCCCAGGACCUCCCGGCACUCGCCUACCAGCUGCUGCUCCUCGCGUCCAAGCCGCUCCACCCGCGCGCCGUCCUCGCGGGCCUCCUCCGCUUCUUCGGCGACCGCCGCGGCGCCCGCGUUCGCGCGCCGCCGUCCAUCGCGCGGCAGGUCGAGGGCACCGUGCUGAUGAAUGUCGCCUUCGUGGUCAAGCAGGACCCUGCGCUGGCGAGGGAGGUCCUGGCCGCCGUCAAGGCCGACGCCGCGGGCGCUCUCAGCGGAUUCGCGGUGGCCGUGCUGCUGUCAGUGGCGCGGGUGCGGAGGUUCAAUGAGGGUGCCGUGGGACUGCUCCGGGAUGCGGCCGCGGUGUCCCGACGGGAUUACCGAAUGUCCAGGUGACGGAUUGCUCAUUAUCGUACCUAUUUCUCUUGUUUGCGCUAGAAAUUUGUUCUGAACGGGAGGUGGGUGUCUCUCAGGCGGUGCAAGUGGUUGCCGGAUUGUAUGAAAGAGGAAUGGGCACGGGCCACGCAGUUUGUCGAGAAGGGAUUGUUGAAAGCUGUGAGGACUCAAAUCUUGUACCUGCUAUGUCAAUUGUGAACUGACCAUAUAGGGUGCUUGGGUUCAUAGUUCUCUCAGGGUGUAAACCAGUACUUAUAUGCAGGUUGAUGAGAGCAUUGUUGGGAGGGAGCACGUUGUGCCGAGCAUUGUUCAGGUGGGUUUUCUCCUGUUAGAAGUCCCGGAUGGUGAUCGAACGGAGGAAGCUGGCUUAGGUGAAGGGGUUAUGAGCACCGAAGAAAUAGGCAUUAAUAUGCUCAAGUCAUUGUUUGAGAUCCAUGAAAUGGCACGGACUGAGGUAUGUAGCAAAACACUGUGACCUUGUUUCAAUGAGUUCGAUCAUAUUUACCAAUUGGUUCAUUUUAUAUGACUUGAGCAUGUUUCAAUUUUCUCUACUUGGGUCAGAUAAUUGAACAAUGCAAGUUCCGGAUUCUCUCGGCAAAGCCUCAGCAAAGUGCGCCAGUUCUCAGGUCAAAGAAGAUAGCAACCCUAGUUAAAAUUUACAAAACACAAGUUAUUGUUUAUGAGUCAAUAUAUUUAACCUUUUUUUCCUGAGGAAAUGUCCGACCAUCUUUCCCUUACAGAUUGCUUGGAUGCUUGAUUCGGGGUCAUCCAUUUCCAAUGCUGGAAUACAUUGCACACAUGAAGGAGUUGCUGGAUUAUUUUUCAUUUAUGAAUGACAAGAUAUCAACUGGUCUGAUCAGUUGCAUCUUGCCACUCACAAAGUUCAACCGUGAUCUGAAGGUAUUCAACGUCAACACUAUUCUGCAUUUAUGUGGUUGUGGAAGACUUUGUUUGAUUGUUCCUGAAUUUUUUUUACAGGAUUAUAUAAUACUGGUUGUAAGAAAGGCCAUGUUCAAGAGGGAGGACAUGGUACGAAUUGCUGCUACUAAUGCUAUAGUUGAGCUGAUUAUCGCGGAGAGCAGGAGAAACGAAGCCAAUCCUUUUGAAGAUUCAUCAAGCCAGCCGAGCUGUAGCCAACAGCCUGGAACACAUCUAGAAUUUGGUAGGGGUCUCUUUCAGGAGCUAAGUGGAUUGCUUCGCAGAUGUCUAUCGCAACAGGUAUCACUGCUUUCAUUAUGUUGUACCAUGCAACUGUCCUUAUUCUUCAUCUCUAGUAAGACAUACAGUUCCCAGCAUCGUUAAUUUGCUCUUGCAGACCAGUGUCAAAGAGGUCUUAUACGAGGGUCUUAUACGUAUUGUUACAUCUGAUCCAGCUAUUGCUGACAGUGUCCUUGAUUUCCUCUGGCCUCACUUCCUAAACUAUUACACAGAGGUAAUACUCCCUGACAGACUCUUGUGUCCAUUUCUGUUUGUUGGUCAGUGUAGACUGUUAUUUCUCAAAUUACGUUAUUGAUCCUCUUAAUCACAUCCUUGGAAAAUGAAGUUGGUCUCAUGAGUUCUUGUUGCUGACUUGCUUUAGGAUGCAGAAUGCCCUCUUAAAAUUGGUUUAUGCUUUAAAGUGGAGAAUGCCAAACUAUGCAUUAUGGAACCUUUAGAUUGCCUUCUGUCAUGUAUCUCAAGAAUUCUGCGAAUUCAGCAAACUAGUAAAUGUGAACGACCACAUGAUGCAUAUAAGUGCUUUGGUUUUGCUGCUUCACAAGAUAAUGAGGUUUGGUCUUUCUCACGCUGAGUUCUGUUGAUAAACACCUAAAGGUUUUGAUAUUAUUCUAUGUUUGUAUAACCCAAGCUAUUUUCAGGCUGGUCGAACAUCAACAAGUGAUUUAUUUGUGAAGGCUUUAUCAAGCAUCCAAAAGUAUUUGAGGAUAUCCAUCACAGAAGGUUUGUGAUACAUAAUAGAUAAAGAGAAUCAAUUUGUGCUCAGUAAUGCUACUCAAGAGGACAUCAUUUUGUGCUCACAAUUUUUACUUGUUGACAGCCCAGCGAGGACAAAGCCAAGAAGCUGGAUCUCUUUCUUCACCAUCUGAGAUGGCUCACUGUCAUAACUUGGCUAUGCUUGGAAUCAUUGAGGUUUUUGUUGAUUUUGCCGCUUCAAAACUGGAGAAAGCCUCUGAUGAAUCAAAGGAAAUGAUAGAAAAAGAAAUACUAGAGCUUGUAGAUGCUCACAGUGUCUUAGAGAGAAAUAAGAGCAAUUAUAGGGAAAAGAUUGCACGGAAAAGAGGGAAUGCAGGUGAUACUACAGAAAAGGCCACCAACGAACCCAAGGAUAAUUCAAAUGCUUCCUUGCAGAAACUUCAUGAAAAGAGUGGUAAAUUUGUGGAUUCGAGUUUGUAUGAACUUUCAGUACUGUGUGUCAAGCAGUGCAAUGCUGAUAGUUACAACAACUGCAGUCAGCGUCCUAGCCAAACUAAAUGUAACCAGAGCUCCUAUCUGGUAUCUUUUGUUUUGAAAGCCUUUCUUGAACUGUUCAAAUCACUUGCAACUAAGGACAGUGGUGACUUCAGAAUAAAGCUGUAUGAAGAUUUAAAAAGGUUAAUCCAGCCAAUAAUGCAGCUCAUAUGGCGUCUUCUGUUAGAUUCAAAUCAAGAAAAUGGUUCCAGCAAGAGGAACAUGACCCAAGGAAAGAAAAACAUUGAGUGCAAAAAGGAUCAGUUACAUUUGGCUCUGGCAUGCCUAAAAGAACUACUUCAGCCAAGUGUAUCAGGAGAUCACUCUAGCGAUAUUAUUGAGGUUAUAAUAUCUUCAGCUCCACCAAAUAUAGAGGAUAUGGUGGAUGCUGGCGAGCUUGACAAGAAUGACACCACUAUAGUUGAAGAUCGAAGCACAAAAAAUGUUCAAGUGCUUCUGAACAUAUUGAAAGUGUUAUAUGCUCGAGUUCUUUCACAAUCCCUUUUACGUGAAUCCGAGGUAAAUUUAUUUGUGAUCUGGCCUGGAAAGCAACAGUGGAUAGUUUGAUUACUGGAUAGUUUGAUCUGGCCUGGAAAGCAUCAGUAGUACAACUUUGUACACUUUUUUUCUGGUGGAAAGUACUUUGAUCAAUUUAUUUGUCUUUUAUUUGUUGUACCAUGGAAUAUGUUAUGUUUCUAUUGAGAAUCAACUAUUUUGAAGUCGAAUAUCAUGAAAUGGACUAUAAAUAAAUAUGAAUGAAUGGCUUCUUUUGUAGAUAUACUAAAAUUUCUUGUUCAUUUCUGUAGGCUGUAACUGAAUUGAUUUUGAGUAUAUCAAGAAAACUACAUCUUGAACAAAGGCAUCUUGUUGGAAAUUGGGCUAUGGAUCUAUGUAGAAAGAAAACCAUGCAAAGUCCCAGUAUUGCGCGAGAGGUGAUAAAACUCGCUAUCCAUCUUACACCAGCUCCAGAUGACAUGAUUCUUGUUUGUGAGAUAGCUGCUGAGUUGAAGAAAUUAAUGACCUCUGGAGAAGAUAAUUCUAGAGAUUCUUCUGAUACAUUUCAUACCAUUAACUGUAAAACAAAGAGCUCACUUGCUGCUGUCUGUCUUCAAAUGGUGGAGUUAUCUCUUACUGAAUUGGACUGGGGUCUUGGUAAGCUUAAAUCAAUUCUUACAUUAGGUUACGAUUCUGCUAACGUUGAUGAAGAUCAGCCAGCAGAUGAAAGAAUGCAAAGGUUGGCUUUGGAGGAAGCACUCUACUCAAGAUCAAUAUUGGUAGUUCACGCCCUCUCGUCCUUUGCACAUAUGAGCCUUAAGGGUAGGUUGUGAGGUACCAUGAAACGUCCAUUUUGUUCCAUUUCUACAUGUGGCCUAAUUUGAGCUUGCAUUCUCAGAUACUCAAGCAGAACACUUUCUGAAAUUGACUGCCAAGUUCUACAAGCUCUUAACUCGCAUGUCAAAGUCCCAGAUUGCACCUAAAGGCUAUACACAAUUCAUUCCAAGCCUCAAGUUUCAGAAACUGGCAGAAGUAACUUGCAGGAUGCUCACUUCUACACUUUAUGACUUCGUCUCUUCAGUUCAACAGGUCCUUUUCAUUUUCUAAAUACAUCAUUAAUGAGUAUGGCUUCUAUAACUGAGGAACUUGUUUUCUGUUUUCCUUUCCUCUAAUGUUGCAGAAUCUGGAAGCACCAAGAAAGGGGAACCUCGCUAAAAUUAGAAGAGAAAGCAAAUGUAUCCCUGAUCUUAUUUAUCAGAUUGAAGAUUAUGAGAAGUAUCUAAUACAGCUAAGCAAGCUCACUAAGGUGAACCUUUUGAGACAUGCCAAGCGUAGUGUAGCAAGAGAUUUUCGGAUAGAAGAUAAAUCUGGAGAAGGACAACAGGAAGAGGAUGGUACUUCAGCCAAUGCUGUACCAUCUGAUAAUGAGCCUUAUGAGGGGGCAGGAGGUCCAACUCCAGUCGAAUCAUAUGCUGAUGAAAAUGCAUCAUCUGAAAGUGAGCAUGAUGAGGAUGCAGGAAGUCUGAAAGCUCCAGUUGAAGCAAAUGCUGAUGAAAACAUUAGGUCUAGCAUUCCAUGUGGUAGUCCCGUGCGGGAGUCUGAAUCCGAUGAAGAGGAAGAAAUAUUAGCUCGGAGAAAGAGAGCUAAGACAAAACAAAUAGUUCAGGAUUCUGAUGAUGAAAUGGAAGAUAAAUAGAGGUUUCUGUAGACAGUAGCUCAAAGUGUGUGUUAUAGUCAACAUCAAGCUAAGGAGGAUAUAUUGGUUAUAAAAUGUAAAUAUAUGGUUUUGCAAAAGUUUUUUAUGGGUCAUUAACUCAUCAUAUUGAUCAUAGGCAAUUCACAGAAAAUAUGUAAACUAGAUGUUUACGCUCUUCCUUGGUUACAAUUUUCAUUGUGAAUUUAAUCAUUAGGAGUUCCAUCAUGGUUCAUAAGCGUGUCUGCGUGUAUGCAUUUGUGGUGUCAACAAAUGUCUAUGUUUUACUGUGUGUAUGUGGUUUUAAAGUCACAUCACAGUUCAUCUUAACUGAUAUCUGCAGUUUACAUAUGUUAUUACAGUCUUUUUUAUGAAUUUAAGCAUGAAGAUUUAAUUCAUAUUAGGUCAUUGAUUUAUACCGCAUGCUAAAUCAUUGGUAAAUAGUUAUAUAUUUUGGCAAACGUAUCAACUGCAUUUUUAUAAUUAUAUAAACUGGAAGCCAUGAACCAGAAUAAGAAAACCAUGGACUUCAUUUCUGCGAAUAAGAACAAAUGCACAAAAUAGUAUUCAAAUUUCAAAAGAACGCAUAUGUUCCAACUUCCAUCAAUUUGUGGCAUGACCUAAAAAAUCGCAAAGCAGUAGUUACAGACAACAGAACGCAAUAGAGUAUUCGAAUUCCCUUUUUUGAGCGGAGAUAAAAAUCCAUUUUGAGAGACUUUGAUUUCACUUUUCAAAAUGCAAAUCUGAAGGAACAGAACCAAAGGGUUUGCUCGGUCGGGUAGCAAACCCGCGGCCCGCUCGAAGUCCGAACCCAAACUUCCAUCUGGUGGCCUCGAACCCAUUCGGGUUGACACCACGCCUCCCCUAUAUAAGCGUCACUCUCUCGACUCGCCUCCAAAACCCUAGAACCCGCCCCUCCGCCGCCGCCGCCGCAGGCCGUCACUGCUCGCCGCGCUCCGCCAUGGUAGCCUCUAACCUCCUCGCGGGCUUCUCUUCUCCGAUACAUUGGACCAGUACCUGACACAUAGCCCCCAUCUCCUCGCAGGGUAUCGAUCUCGUCGCCGGCGGCCGGAACAAGAAGACCAAGCGCACCGCGCCCAAGUCCGACGAUGUCUACCUCAAGCUCCUCGUCAAGGUACGCGCAAUCCCAGCCCCGAUCUGGUGGCACCGGCAGCCUUCUCGCCGUUCCGUGGCUCGGAUUUGGAUUCCUCCAGCAUCGCGUGCGUCCCGUCUCCUGAUCUGUCCGUGUGUGCUCGCAGCUGUACCGCUUCCUCGUCCGGAGGACCAAGAGCGACUUCAACGCUGUGAUCCUGAAGCGGCUCUUCAUGAGCAAGACCAACCGCCCGCCGCUCUCGCUCCGCCGCCUCGUCAAUUUCAUGAAGGGCAAGGUCUCUCUUCGAUUCCUAUUCUGAUUUGGUUCGCUGAUUGUGCCUUUUGGUUUCUGUGGUUUCGUGUGACAUUGUGUUUGUUUGCGGGAGUGCAGGAGAACCAGAUUGCUGUGAUCGUGGGCACCGUGACCGACGACAAGAGGGUCUACGAGGUGCCGGCGAUGAAGGUGGCUGCGCUCAGGUUCACUGAGACGGCGAGGGCCCGGAUCGUGAAUGCUGGCGGCGAGUGCCUCACCUUCGACCAGCUAGCGCUCCGCGCACCUCUGGGCCAGAACACGGUAAUUUCACUGUUCAACUCUAAUUUCCAGGCUUACUGCUCAGAUAAACGUGGAUUUGAAUAAUGCUGUCGAGUUAAUCUUUGUUAGUUUAUUGUGAUGUUGAACAUUUAUUAAUUGCUGGUUGGGAUACAUGAUUUAUGAUCUGACUUUGACCUAUAUUGCUUGAACCAUUCGUUAUUGAGCCGUGUGUUAUCAUAUUUCUGAUACUCUGCCAGCAUUUUCUGUUUGAUGGUCUUUUGUGCUGUAUCUGUUCUGAAUGUGCAGAGUUGUUUGCAGUUAAUAUUCAAAACCUUAAAAUUCAAUUGAAGUCCAAAACAUUCUACAUUUUCCUUGUUAUCUCUCAAUGAUGAGAACAAAGCAGACGGGCGGUCAGAACCUGAUGUUGUGUUGAGUGUCUGCAUGUUUGUGCAUUCCUUUUCAGGAAUGCAUCUGAGAGUGAGAACAAGUUAUUUACAUGAAUCCUCAAUUGCUUGUCAAUAUGUUUACCUCACAUGUGUAGCAACUUAAGUUUGCUCGAUCAUUUUCUGAGUUCGUUCUGUUUUACACAUGAUCAUUGAGUCGCUUAAUUUGAGCAUGCACCUUUGUUAGUUAUUUUUCUUCUUGGAGAUUUCUGAGGGCCAAGAAGUUAUAACGGGUGCAUAGAUCUAUAUGGUUGUCUUACCAGCCCAUCGCAUACUACAUCAUCGCUUUGGUGCCAAAUGAUCUAACCGAAAUUUAUUACCACCUUCUCCUUGUGCACUUCCUUAUUAUUGGUUACUUUUGUUGGGUUAUCAAAUUUAGAUUUUCAUGUUUGUUGUGUUAAUUUGACAACAUUUUUAAGCAUACCUUAAACUUUCCUAUUUUCUGAUUUUUGUUUCACUGCUACUAUCAAAUAAUGGAAGAUUAGAAGUAUGGCAGAUGAUGGAUAAUCUUAUCCUACACACUGAAUCUAUUGUGUAGACCAAAUACUCCGCUUAUUAUCUGAUGCCAUUAGUUAAUUAGCUCUCACUGUUCAUUGUUUCUUGGGCGCUUGAUUAUUAUGUUGUGUGCUAAAAAGGAGUAAAUUGAGGCUUGUUUAUUUUGCAUGGUUUGCUUGUAACGUUUGAAUCAUGAAAGUGCUUGGUGUUACAUACUUGCAUUCCUAUCUGUCUCACAUGCAUGUCUUCAUGGUUUAAUAAUCUGUAGAGGUUUGCUAACUUUUACAAUGGAAUUGGGGUACUCUCAUUUAUGACAAUCUUUUCAAAUAUUUAUGUGAGCUACAUGUAGACGAUUGAAUCUCACUAUUUGCUACAAUCCUUAGGUUCUGCUAAGGGGACCUAAGAAUGCUAGGGAAGCUGUGAAGCACUUUGGCCCUGCACCUGGUGUGCCCCACAGCCACACCAAGCCCUACGUCCGCGCCAAGGGAAGGAAGUUUGAGAAGGCAAGAGGAAGGAGGAACAGCAGAGGCUUCAAGGUCUAAGUUGUUGUGCCUUAUCCAUAUGGUCUCACCUAGUGGACUAAAUAGAUCUUGUUUCAGUCCGAGAGUUCUAUGUUAGCUCACCUCAGUUUCAGGACGUUUGAGGGCUCUUUGUUAUUUGUACACCCAGUUCCAGGAUCUCCUAAAUUUUGCUCGAUGUUUUGCACUCUAUCGGAAGUUUGCAAGUGUUUGUUAACAUAUUAGGGUUUUGCACCUCUGCUUCCCUUUUAAAUCAUUUUGAUGCAAUAUUGAACCAUCUAAGAUAGAAUUUGGGUGGGGAAUAGGGUUUUGGAUAUCCGAUUCUCUUUUGAAGUUUUAAAUGGUGUUUGGUUCAUUGGUUGAAUGUAAAUGGAAUGGCAAAUGCAAUCAGAAAAUGCUGUAUUAGAAAUGAUGUUACCAAUUACUGAAGUUGUUUGGUUUCACGGCAAUGAAACCAUAACAGGGUGUUGCACAGCGCGUCUGAUGCCAGUAUGACAGUUUGAGCGAGCCGUUCAGGGUUAAAGUAGGAUGUGGAGCAUGAGGGAGCCACGCAAAAUCGUCUGAAGCCCGCAUGCUAGUGACAAUCAUUUUUCCUUUUUUUCCCCUUGUCUCUUCUCUGUUGCUCAAUGCUACCUCCGUUCCAAAUUACUGUUACGAAACGGGGUGUCUGUUCCUAACAGACACCUCUCUAUACUCGGUGACCUCAUCAACAGAGGAACAGACACCUCUCUAUACUCGGUGACCUCCUCAACAGAGGAAGAGGAUUAGCAGUUAGUAUAAGCAGUUAGCACUACGAAGGACAUGUCCUUUCGUUAGUAGAUUGUUCCAUUGAAUAGUUACCUUUUCCCGAACAGUCACGUCCAUACAACGUGACUCUUCACUUGUAUAUAAUCCAAAGAGAUCACUUGUAUAUAAUCCAAAGAGAUCAGUAAACAUUUAAUACUUUCCAAAAUCUCUGUUCAUUUACAUUCACAUUCAACACAUUAUCAGCACUGCUCGUGAACAGAGAACAACUGACAUGCGAAUGCUCCUGAACAACCCACGGUAAGCAUCAUGGCCAAGAUUGACUUACCGUCUUACCUCGUUCGUGGUCUCUUCUACGCCCUUCGAAAUGUUCGUGGAGUUCUUCGCCGCCCAAUCCGCCACCGCAGCCACUAUGGACAACGCCGCAGCGUCUUCGAGCGCCUUGGGCCUCGCGUUCGCCGCAACAAUGGCAACGGCCGCCUCUUCGAGUCUGCAGUUUGUGGCCUCCGUGCAAAUGUAGUUCCUUGCCGCCAAUGGACUCCUGUUCGUGGCCGCCUUGCUUCUCCUCCGCGCGAUCCUCUUCUGCAAGGCCAGCCACCAUCUCCUCACCUUGGCUUGGAUGGUGUCGGCCCCAGCAACGUCAAACCAAGCGCUGUUGAAGCCCCGGCACCACCAAUUGUUGACACCCCGGCACCACCAGUCGUCGAAACGUCGCCGCCCGUUGAAGCUGUGGUGGCUACAACCGCCUAUGUCCCAUGGAGCCGAUGUCGCCGGCACCGGCACCACCUCACUUCUGGUGCGACUUCUGCAAGGUGUUCACAUCGAUCCCGCACACACUCGAGUACGCCUACUCGCUGCCGACGCCCACACCAGCCGCUCCAACUCCUGUAGUGACAAGAAACAGUGUACCUCCGCCCGAUCCGUGGUUCCUGAACACGCGGGCUGCUCCCGCGCUUGACGCAAUGGAGGUUGAGGAAGGGGAUGCGGUGUCCAGCCCCAGCAUCAACAAUAGCGCGGCGAGGACUGGCGCCUCGGCGUAGUACUUCCUCGACAGGGCCGGAUCUCUGUUCAUUCACAUUCACAUUCAACAAUUACAAUUCGUUUUCUCCCUCCGUCCCGAAUUAUCUAGGAACAUAAUUUUUAUCUACAUAUCUAGACAUAGCAUAUAUCUAGAAAACAUAUCUAGACAUAACAUAUAUCUAGAAAACAUAUCCAGACAUAACAUAUUAUUUAGAAAAAAUAAAACGAAUAGUAAUUUGAGAUCUGAGGUGGCAAGGAUGGAGGAACUAGCCAGCUGGUGCGGUAGUUGUCGGUAGGCUAUUCUUCUUAACCGCUUAGCUUCCAGUAGACUAUCUCUGCUCUUGGCCCCUGUCGGACCGGCUACAGUACUAAUCAUGUGCUGGUAGGAAAGUUCUUGCGCUACUUAAGAUCUGAAAACAGUGAUGAGCAACAGCCAGCCUUGUUCUCGAACGUUCAACUGGAUAAGCUGUUUCAUGCCCCCAAAUCAUCUCAUAGGAGCUAGCUUGAUGUAUUACUACUUGAGAAAUGAGAAGAACAAAAGAUUUGUAAAUUGAAAUACUGAAAAAAAAA